rnacentral:rRNA from 1 species
GACGAACGCUGGCGGCGUGCUUAACACAUGCAAGUCGAACGGAAAGGCCCUGCUUUUGUGGGGUGCUCGAGUGGCGAACGGGUGAGUAACACGUGAGUAACCUGCCCUUGACUUUGGGAUAACUUCAGGAAACUGGGGCUAAUACCGGAUAGGAGCUCCUGCUGCAUGGUGGGGGUUGGAAAGUUUCGGCGGUUGGGGAUGGACUCGCGGCUUAUCAGCUUGUUGGUGGGGUAGUGGCUUACCAAGGCUUUGACGGGUAGCCGGCCUGAGAGGGUGACCGGCCACAAUGGGACUGAGGUACCGGCCAAGCCUCUUCGGGAGGCAGGAGUGGGGGAUAAUGCAAAAAGGGCCGAAGCCUUAUGCCGCAACGCCGCGUGCCGGAUGACGGCCUUCGGGUUGUAAACCGCUUUCGCCUGUGACGAAGCGUGAGUGACGGUAAUGGGUAAAGAAGCACCGGCUAACUACGUG